rnacentral:rRNA from 1 species
AACCCUGGAAGUGCAUUUGAACCUGUGUGACUUGACUAUGGGAGAGGGAAGCGGAAUUCCUGGUGUAUCGCUGAAAUGCGUAGAUAUCAGGAGGAACACCCGUGGCGAAGGCGGCUUCCUGGACCAAGACAGACGCUGAGGCGCGAAGGCGUGGGGAGCAAACAGGAUUAGAUACCCUGGUAGUCCAUGCAGUAAACGGUGAUCACUAGGUGUAGCGGGUAUUGACCCCAGCUGUGCCGAAGCUAACGCAUUAAGUGAUCCGCCUGGGGAGUACGACCGCAAGGUUAAAACUCAAAGGAAUAGACGGGGGCCCGCACAAGCGGUGGAGCAUGUGGUUUAAUUCGACGCAACGCGAAGAACCUUACCUGGAUUUGACAUCCCGGGAAUCUUUAUGAAAAUAGAGAGUGCCAUUCGGGGAGCCCGGAGACAGUUGCAGCAUGGCUGUAGUCAGCUCGUGUCGUGAGACGUUGGGCUAAGUCCCGCAACGAGCGCAACCCCUAUCUUCAGUUACCAGCAUUUCGGAUGGGGACUCUGGAGAUACUGCCCCGGUUAACGGGGAGGAAGGUGGGGAUGAUGUCAAGUCCUCAUGGCCUUUAUGUCCAGGGAUACACACGUGCUACAAUGGUCGGUACAAAGGGCGACGAACUUGUGAGGGUGAGCUAAUCCCAUAAAGCCGGCCCAAGUUCGGAUUGGAGAUCUGCAACUCGACCUCAUGAAGUUGGAAUCGCUAGUAAUCGCGGAUCAGCAUACCGCGGUGAUACAGUUCCCGGGCGUUGUACACACCGCCAGUCACACCAUGAGAAUUGGUUGUACCAGA